rnacentral:rRNA from 1 species
UACGUAGGGUGCAAGCGUUGUCCGGAAUUAUUGGGCGUAAAGAGCUCCUAGGCGGUUUGUUGCGUCGGCUGUGAAAUCCCGAGGCUCAACCUCGGGUCUGCAGUCGAUACGAGCAAACUAGAGUGUUGCAGGGGAGACUGGAAUUCCUGGUGUAGCGGUGAAAUGCGUAGAUAUCAGGAGGAACACCAAUGGCGAAGGCAGCUCACUGGGACGAUACUGACGCUGAGACGCGAAAGCGUGGGGAGCAAACAGG